GACGAACGCUGGCGGCGUGCCUAAUACAUGCAAGUCGAGCGCAGGAAAUCGACGGAACCCUUCGGGGGGAAGUCGACGGAAUGAGCGGCGGACGGGUGAGUAACACGUAAAGAACCUGCCCUCAGGUCUGGGAUAACCACGAGAAAUCGGGGCUAAUACCGGAUGGGUCAUCGGACCGCAUGGUCCGAGGAUGAAAGGCGCUUCGGCGUCGCCUGGGGAUGGCUUUGCGGUGCAUUAGCUAGUUGGUGGGGUAAUGGCCCACCAAGGCGACGAUGCAUAGCCGACCUGAGAGGGUGAUCGGCCACACUGGGACUGAGACACGGCCCAGACUCCUACGGGAGGCAGCAGUAGGGAAUCUUCCACAAUGGACGAAAGUCUGAUGGAGCAACGCCGCGUGAACGAUGAAGGCCUUCGGGUCGUAAAGUUCUGUUGUAAGGGAAGAACAAGUGCCGCAGGCAAUGGCGGCACCUUGACGGUACCUUGCGAGAAAGCCACGGCUAACUACGUGCCAGCCGCCGCCGUAA
rnacentral:rRNA from 1 species